rnacentral:rRNA from 1 species
GAUGAACGCUGACAGAAUGCUUAACACAUGCAAGUCGAUGGGGAAGUGGUGCUUGCACCAUGGCAACCAUGGCGGACGGGUGAGUAACGCGUAAGGGACUUACCUGCAGGACUGGGAUAACAGGGGGAAACUCCUGACAAGACCGGAUAAUGUCAUGGAGCUGCAUGGCUUUAUGAUGAAAGGAGACGCCUGCGGAGAGCCUUGCGUCCUAUUAGCUAGUUGGUGAGGUAAUGGCUCACCAAGGCGAAGAUAGGUAGCCGGCCUGAGAGGGUGGACGGCCACAAGGGGACUGAGAUACGGCCCUUACUCCUACGGGAGGCAGCAGUGGAGAAUAGUGGACAAUGGGGGCAACCCUGAUCCAGCAAUUCUGUGUGCACGAAGAAGGUUUUCGGAUUGUAAAGUGCUUUCAGCAGGGAAGAAGUAAGUGACGGUACCUGCAGAAGAAGCGACGGCUAAAUACGUG